AUUGAACGCUGGCGGCAUGCUUUACACAUGCAAGUCGAACGGUAACAGGCCGCAAGGUGCUGACGAGUGGCGAACGGGUGAGUAAUGCAUCGGAACGUGCCCAGUCGUGGGGGAUAACUGCUCGAAAGAGCAGCUAAUACCGCAUACGAUCUAUGGAUGAAGGCGGGGGACCGUAAGGCCUCGCGCGAUUGGAGCGGCCGAUGUCAGAUUAGGUAGUUGGUGGGGUAAAGGCUCACCAAGCCAACGAUCUGUAGCUGGUCUGAGAGGACGACCGGCCACACUGGGACUGAGACACGGCCCAGACUCCUACGGGAGGCAGCAGUGGGGAAUUUUGGACAAUGGGGGCAACCCUGAUCCAGCAAUGCCGCGUGCAGGAAGAAGGCCUUCGGGUUGUAAACUGCUUUUGUACGGAACGAAACGGUCUGGGUUAAUACCCUGGGCUAAUGACGGUACCGUAAGAAUAAGCACCGGCUAACUACGUGCCAGCCGCCGCGGUAAAAC
rnacentral:rRNA from 1 species